UACGUAGGGAGCGAGCGUUGUCCGGAUUUAUUGGGCGUAAAGGGCUCGUAGGCGGUUUGUCGCGUCGGGAGUGAAAUCCACUGGCUUAACUGGUGGCUUGCUUUCGAUACGGGCAGACUGGAGGUAUGCAGGGGAGAACGGAAUUCCUGGUGUAGCGGUGAAAUGCGCAGAUAUCAGGAGGAACACCGGUGGCGAAGGCGGUUCUCUGGGCAUGUCCUGACGCUGAGGAGCGAAAGUGUGGGGGGCGAACAGG
rnacentral:rRNA from 1 species